UAGUACGGCGAGUGAGAGGGAAGAGCCCAAGAUUGAAAGCUGGCGCCUUCGGCGUCCGCAUUGUAAUCUCAAGAAGUGUUUUCCGCUUCGGACCAUGCCUAAGUCCCUUGGAAAAGGGCAUCAUAGAGGGUGAUAAUCCCGUACAUGGCAUGGAGCGCCCGAAGCUUUGUGAUACGCUUUCUAAGAGUCGAGUUGUUUGGGAAUGCAGCUCAAAAUGGGUGGUAAAUGCCAUCUAAGGCUAAAUAUUGGGGAGAGACCGAUAGCGAACAAGUACAGUGAUGGAAAGAUGAAAAGAACUUUGAAAAGAGAGUUAAACAGUACGUGAAAUUGCCAAAAGGGAAGGGUAGGAGGUCAGAGAUGCGUCGCAGGAUUCAGCCUUGCUUUUGCUUGGUGUUUUUCCUGCGUUGCAGGCCAACGUCGGUUUUGGGCACUGGAGAAGGGUAGGAGGAACGUGGCACCUCUCGGGGUGUGUUAUAGCCUCCUACUGGAUACAGCGACCGAGACCGAGGAACGCAGCGUACUCGUAAGAGCGGGCCUUUUGGCACCUUUACGCUUAGGGCGUUGGCAUAAUGGCCCUCUACCACCCGUCUUGA
rnacentral:rRNA from 1 species